rnacentral:rRNA from 1 species
UACGGGGGGGGCAAGCGUUGUUCGGAAUUACUGGGCGUAAAGGGCUCGUAGGUGGCCAACUAAGUCAACCGUGAAAUCCCUCGGCUUAACCGGGGAACUGCGUUUGAUACUGGAUGGCUUGAGUUUGGGAGAGGGAUGCGGAAUUCCAGGUGUAGCGGUGAAAUGCGUAGAUAUCAGGAGGAAUACCGAUGGCGAAGGCAGCCCCCUGGGUCGAUACUGACGCUCAUGCACGAAAGCGUGGGGAGCAAACAGG